rnacentral:tRNA from 1 species
GGCCCGUUGGAGAAACGGUUAACUCACAUGCCUUUCACGCAUGCAUUCAUGGGUUCAAAUCCCAUACGGGUCACCA